rnacentral:lncRNA from 1 species
AAAGAAAUGGUCGAGGAGACUGCGCUUCGCUUCUCGGACUUGGCAGUAUACGAUGGACUUGGGGAUUGAAUUCCGCAGGCCAGCACAGACCAUGUUCACGUAAGACAAAACAUUGGAUCCUGUUGCCAAAUGUCUAAAAUUUGUGAGAUAUACGGUACCAGAUAAUUAUUUAUUUAUAUGGGUUAACCUUACCGAUUCGUCUGAGAUAGGAAUCGUUGUAGCGGUCGAAAAUGGAGUGUGUGGGGUUACCACCCUUCUCAACAUCCUGGGGAAGUUUCCUGAAGAAAUCAACAGUGAGGUAACUGCACUCCAUGUCAACCAGCUGCAGUGUUGCUUUCUUACUUCCUUCCCGCAUUUUAUCCAGCGACUCUAUCGCCGCAUUUGUCACCUCCACUCUCAGAGCUGGGUAUUGUUUUAGUUCCUGCACAUGUUCAAACCGUCUAUAACAUUGUACAAAAGUACUAGUUGUUGGAGAUAUAUAUAUAUAUAUAUAUAUUACUAAAAGAAAAAAGAACGUACCACAGUUUCAUUCACAGACUUGUGAACCAGAUCCUUUAAGAUAGCAUGAACCUAAUAUUUAACCAUAGAAAAAAAAAAAAACGGAGAGAGAAGCUUAUUGUUUUGUGUUAGGUUUUUGAUACAUCUUUUUAGAGAUGAAAGUAAAGAGUUCAUACGGUGUCAACAGAUGCUUCAGCAGGGCCUCUGAUGGAGACAAUAGAAGACUCAAUGAGACGACGGUAACCUUGCUCAGGAGCAAUCAAGUGAGGCUGGUAACCAUCAGCCUC